CCAGACUCCUACGGGAGGCAGCAGUGGGGAAUAUUGCACAAUGGGGGAAACCCUGAUGCAGCGACGCCGCGUGAGUGAAGAAGUAUUUCGGUAUGUAAAGCUCUAUCAGCAGGGAAGAUAAUGACGGUACCUGAGUAAGAAGCCCCGGCUAACUACGUGCCAGCAGCCGCGGUAAUACGUAGGGGGCAAGCGUUAUCCGGAUUUACUGGGUGUAAAGGGAGCGUAGACGGCAUGGCAAGUCUGAAGUGAAAGCCCGGGGCUCAACCGCGGGACUGCUUUGGAAACUGUUAAGCUGGAGUGCAGGAGAGGUAAGUGGAAUUCCUAGUGUAGCGGUGAAAUGCGUAGAUAUUAGGAGGAACACCAGUGGCGAAGGCGGCCUACUGGACGGUGACUGACGCUGAGGCUCGAAAGCGUGGGGAGCAAACAGGAUUAGAUACCCCUGUAAG
rnacentral:rRNA from 1 species